GAAUUAGCAACAAAGCCUUUAGCCUGCAAGAAAAGUAGAAAAUCAAGUUCAACACUUCAAAAAUUCAUGAUCAGCUAUUUAACAUGUUCUGAGUGGUAAGCAGUUUAGCCUUAGGUUAAUGAACAAAUCAGCAAUUCUUUUUGUUGCCAUGCAUUCUUUCAAAGAAUAUCAAGUUAAACAUCUAAUUAUUUCCACCGGCUUAAGUUGUAAGCAGAUGAAGUGAAAAAUUUUAGAAACGCUACCAUUCUUAGCCUAAGGGAUCUCAAAGACAGCAAGGCAAAGACACAAUUUUAAAAUUCUCCGUUCUCUCCCAUUUUGAGUUUGCAGAUAAACAUAGAUUGAUGAAAUACAAUCAAAUACAUACUAACAAUAAUUUGUCGAGAUCAACAGCACCCAAGUGAUGUUCCAAUCCAGCAUUUUCAAUCAAAAUUCAAGUAUGAUUUUGGCCAAAGAUUAUCAGAUCGAGAUUAACACAAAGCUAGAAGGUAAACUCUUUCAAAGACUACUAGAGCAUCACAAACUGUAUCAGUUUAUUAUUCCCUCAAUGACUAGUCAAUGACAGUCAUAAAGAUUAUACAGAACUCA
rnacentral:misc_RNA from 1 species